GACUCUGGGGAAGAAAAAAAUUAUGUAUUUCUUCUUGUGCAGUUCUUCAGAUGUGGAAAAACAACGAGGUGAAACAUGGACUGAUGGGGU